rnacentral:misc_RNA from 1 species
CUUAAAAUGUCCCUUAUCCCAACAGCUCCAACGGCACUACUCUCUGUUCUUCUUCUCAGAGCAUGUCGCUUCAUUUUAAAUUCUUCCCUCUCUCUCUUCCCUAUCCAAACCCCAACGUGGUUCGCCCCUGUCUCUCCCCGAGACUCCGCUAUCACUGUCCCCAGGCGCUCCAAAUCCUCUGCGCCGCGAAGCGAACCGGGAAGCAGAGGUACCCAUCCGAGAAAAAGAAGCUCAAAUUGAAGCGUAAAGAAGCAAUCUCGGAUGUCAGUAACAAGUUUGAAGGAAUCUGGAGGCUUUCGAAUCUCGCUGUUUCGGUCCAAAACGACCCCGGCAUGGACUUUCUCGGCGUCUCCGACGGGUUGCUUCAAGAGAUUGCCAAAACAAUAAAGUUCCCGGUUGCGUCUAUGCUUCCAGCAGAAGCAUUUACUGUUAUUAGGAAAUCUUUCGAUGCCAGGAAGAUGUUAAAGGAACCCAGAUUUGUGUAUACUGUGGAUAUGGAUGCCAGUCAACUUAUAAGUCUAGAGCCUCGUACUCAGGAUUUCAUUUCUGAUUUAGAGCCUAGAGUUGGAUUUGUAGAAUAUAGACCUCAAGAAAGAGUUUCAGGUGAUUUGCUCAGUAUAAUACGCAAUUCUAAAAGUGUUGAUAAGCAAAGGUCAUCAGCAAAGGGUGGAUAUAGCAUUUGUGCAAGCUCUGUAGACACAAACAAGAACCCAACGAUCAGAAAGCUGAAAAUUGCAGUUGUAGGGGGUGGUCCGUCUGGGUUGUUUGCAACUCUUGUUCUUGCAGAACUUGGUGCAGAUGUUACCUUAAUAGAAAGAGGUCAAUCAGUUGAACGAAGGGGGCGAGACAUUGGUGCUUUGAUGGUUCGACGAAUUUUAGAAUCAGAAAGCAACUUUUGCUUUGGGGAGGUUAUAUCUUGAUUCACUUAGUACUCUUAUUGAAGGCUGUUUUAAUAUCUCACAUGCAAAUCAUACAAUUUUGAUGUUUAAGCUGUCUAAUUAUUUUCUCUCGAAUUAAACCGUCUUUUGAACUUAAGGCUGAUUUUAUUUGAAGGAUAUCACUGGUGCUAUUCUAAUGACUAAGUACAUUGCCAUCAAUUCUUGGCUUGAACAGAUUAGGGACUAGCAGGAGUCUUGACUGUAAUUGUUGCCUUUUAAUUUUAUUUAUUAGAUGUCUUCCUAGCCAAAUCACGUUAAAAUUUGAUGAAAAUGCAACAUGGGCUUGUUCGUAGAAGAAAUCUGCCUGAAUUGUGGCUUCCUUAAGGUCUUGAUCCCUGCCAAUGCCCUGGGGUGGUGGACAGUGUAACAAUGAGAAAUGCAAUCAGGAGCAUGUGAAGCUCUACCAUGAGGAGACAUCUACCGUAUUCACCCAAUAAUUAAGAAGGAUAAUAUUGCCCAACUCCUAAAUCAUCCCUUAAUGUACUUGGAGUGAUGGAAAGCUAGUAACUAGAAUUGGAAGGAACAGUGACAGUGUUUUGGCUGUUAUGAAAACUUUAGUUCACUUUGGUGCUCCAAAAAAUAUUUUAAUAGAUGGGAAGCCUCAUCUGGGAACAGAUAGGUUGAUUCCAUUGCUCCGCAACUUUCGGCAGCAUCUACAAAGGCUGGGUGUUUCUAUAAAGUUUGGCACAAGGGUAGAUGAUUUAAUGAUAGAGAAUGGACAUGUUGUUGGGAUAAAAGUUUCUGAUUCAAAUGAAAGAUUGCAGCAUGGAGGCCAGAAGUUGGGAUAUGAUGCAGUACUUCUGGCAGUGGGGCAUUCUGCACGUGAUAUAUAUCAAAUGCUUCUUUCUCAUAAUUUUCACUUGGUCCCAAAAGAUUUUGCUGUGAGUUUGGAAUAUUUCCCCUAUCAUGUUUUUCAUCAAUAUGACGGCUGCAUUAGAACUAGAGACAUGUCUAUUCGAUACUUCUGUUCAUCAUAUCACUGCCAUUAGAAUGCAUCAUAAUAUGGAAACAAACAAGUAGAAAUUGUAUUUCUUGAUAAGAACUUGGGGGUUGAAUCUGUUUGGCUCAUAGAUACCUGAGACAUGAUAUGUUCCCCAUCAUGGUUGGGAGUGUGAUGUGAGUUGGGAUAAGCCAUGUAGAUUGUUUGUAGUGUUCUUCCCCUUAUUAUUUUAGAUUUUGGUAUCCUUGAAACACUUGCUCAGACCACUUAAUUAUUUAAUUUAGUGUUGGCAAAUUAAGCAACAUGCUUUCAUCGAAACAUUUACAUGCUGUACUGUAUUGCUUUGCUUGUUUUGCAUCUCAUCUCAUGUUUGAAUGAAACAGUGGUGUAUUUUGAUAUAUAUGGGUGCCUCAAGUAAAUUGUUGUACGAAGCUUUUUGUUUGGGAUAUUUCCCUUUUGGGCAGGAAUUGGUCUUUUGUCGUAACAGUGAGCUUAAUCAAUAUCAGUUCUGUUCAAAUACUUGCAACUCAAAAGAGAUUUGGUGAUACUUGCAACAUGUAAUUGCAAGACAUGCCCUUUCUUCAAUUAAGCUCUCCCUUAAAACAAGUUUCAGUAUUCUCAUAAAACCUUGUGGUGCUGUGUUGAAAACCACUUUCAAUGGUCUAGUGUAAUACAGGACAUAUAUUUGUGUUGUUAUAUUGUGAAUGUUAGAUUUGGACAGAAUGAUUGGUGUAAAGCUUUCAUGUUGGAUGAUUGAAUGUGGAUUACUGUCCCUUGGGUUCUUUUUCACCUUUAUGUUGGAUGGAUUUUUUAAUCACUUUUUACAAAAAGUUUAUUCAUAUUGCUAGGGUAUCAAAGUCAUUGUAUAUGCAUAUGCAGGUGUUAGCAUGAACAUUUCUGAGGAAUACACCCUUCUAUCCAAAAUGGGGGUUGGAUGACCUGUGCAAAAUAAAAUACUUUUGCUUUCUACACUUAUAGCUCACAAAAAUUUGCAAAAUCAUGGAGAGAAUUCCUAAUAUGUGGUUAAGGAUUAAUUACAUUGCCGUGGCAUUCAAGGAUGAACAAUGCUAGUAGUUUUGGUGGUUGUUGAAGAGAGGAAAUGAUGAUUUAGGUUUGUGUGUUCCCCUACACAAAUAGAAAAAUGAAAAUUAAAAGGCAGUGGUCUGCAACAAAAUGGAAUUUGUGGUGGCUGUGUUGAGACCUGGGAUCUAUUAGUGCAAUUAUAUUAUGAAUUUCCACUUAAUGAUUUUUUGGCUUUCUUAAGUGUUCACUUUGUGUUUGAUCCAAUUUAUUAUGUGAUGAUAAAUAUUCUCAGAACAAUGCUUCCUCUAUUAUAGUGCUUGAACUUGGUUUUCUCAAUGGCUAGUUCUGAGAACUAUUUAUCAUCUUUACACUUGAUUGGUUAAAUAGGUUGGAUUGCGCAUUGAACAUCCUCAAGAGCUAAUAAACAGCAUACAGUAUUCUGGCUUGGCUGCUGAGGUUCAUUGUGGACGUGGGAAAGUACCUGUAGCAGAUUACAAGAUUGCUAGUUAUGUUAAUGGAGAAGAUGUGGACACAUCUUCAAAUUUAGAGCCCAAAAUUCGUAGUUGCUAUUCCUUCUGUAUGUGUCCUGGGGG